rnacentral:lncRNA from 1 species
UUAUAAUGGUAUCGGCGGAGCCUUGGCUUCUUCAUCCAGAGCCACCAGUAGUCUUCUUCUUCUCCGUUCUUCUCUCUCUCUCUCUCACUCUCUUGGUUUUCGUUGUGAAAAUUGUGUGAAUCAGAUGAUGAAUUUGGAUUAAUCAUCUCACGACGGUCGUCUGAGACACUUUUGUGUGUCGACGCUGAAACGAUCCAAGCUUCUGAUGGUUUCGGAUUUUGCCUUUGUUUUUGAGCUUUCGAUUCCUCUUUCUUGUUCAUCGAUUUAGUGUGCGGCAGCAUAAUGAGGAUUGUAUUUGUCCGACUAAUUCAUGAACGGAUUACAUAACCUCCUACUCAUUCUGAAUGCUUGUUCGCCGUAGCUUUUCCUUCUUCUUUUUCUUUUUAUUUUUUUUGGUUUUUUUUUUUGUUCUACCACUGAAAGAAAGAGGCACAAUGAGGAUCCAAUUUGUAGUGGUAUUCAUGAGAUUUAAAGAUCGGUGAUAUCAAAAUCAUUAGUCCUUUUCAUUCUGAGUGCCUCUGUUUUUUUAUCUUUUAUAAUAAUAGGUUUUGGUGCUGAUUUCUUCGACUUUGCAUUUCAAUUCGACUUAUAAUAAUAGCUUUUAUAACAGCUGUAGUAUUCAAUUCGACUUAUUUUCCGACAGGGUUGACGAACAGCAUGGUCGGGCUUGAUUUGUAGAUGCUUGCAUUGCCUAUUGUAGACAGAUACAUCUGUUUUAUGGUCAAUUUUCG